AGAAUCCAAACAUAUCACCAGAACUGGGUAGGAAAUUUUCAUGGUGUCAACAAACUUGCAGGGAGACAAUUUGCAGCUGAGAAAACGGCUCUGAGUUUUCCCAGAAAAGUUUAAACGGAAGCAUUUGAAUCAGGCAUUUUGCGCCCCACCAGAGGACAUUUUGGAUGUGCUCCUUACAAAUAAGUUGAAUCCGAUAUUUUUCCAGAUGUCUCCAUACCUGUUUGCUUACAGCAGAGCCCCUGCUUGACUUCUUGUUUUAAGGGUGUUUUUCGUUGGGUUUAUCAUGAACCAGUGGCUUUUCUCAACACUCCCACUUUCCGGCACUUUCCGGCACGGCGUGGUAUCUAAAAAUAUUUGAAGCUCCUUACUGUA